CGGCCAUACCACCCUGAACGAGCUCGAUCUCAUUUGAUCUCAGAAGCUAAGCAGGGUUGGGCCUGGUUAAUACUUGGAUGGGAGACCAAUGGUUCACUCCCCAAAUGGCUACAACACCAGGGCUAAGCCAGGCCGAUG
ensembl:rRNA 5S_rRNA 5S ribosomal RNA